GGGGAGGCUGCCCGCGGCUCCCGCCCUGGCUCUGCCCUGAGCACACCCCGCCGGCAUUUGGGGCUCGUUUCCAGUGCGGGGUUUGGGUUUUUUUGGGGGAGGGUGCGAUUAUUCCUCCCCGUCCCCUUAAGGGUGAGUCGGCAGGAGGGCUUCGGGGCCACUUGCAGAGUUGCUUGAUGACUUAUGAAGGGCUUGUUGGGGCACAGAAGGGAUUCUCCCUGGUUUCUCCAAGUCUGAGAGAUACAGCAUAGGAGCAGAGGUAGUUCCACUGGAAUGUACCAAUGCACCGAAAAAAAAAAUAAAUAAGAAAAAUAAUCUGGGAUAAAAAGGUGCUGUAAAAGGUUUAUGUUAUUUCACUGAAAAGGAGUUAUUGCUUUAGUGGAAUAAAAAAGAUCAGAAGGUACACAAGAACAUGAUUUUGUUUUUGUCUUGUCUGCGUGGAAGUGAAAAUCAGUGCACCAAACGGCACUCUGAAGUUAUUGUUAUAAGAAUGGGACGGACAUACUUUAACCAUCUUUUCCCUGCUGUUCUUAUUGUAUUAAUAUGAUUGUGCCUAACAAUCCUAUAGGUAUGUAGGAGUGUGUGCACACAGCUAAGCCAAUGAAAUAUCGCCUAUGCCAUCAAACUUACGGCCUAAAGUGAUGCACAGCCAGUACAGAUGUUUCGUGUCCUGCUGAGUUAAUAUGUGGAUAAUGUCUGGAAAGUCCUAUUGAAAAGAAUAUUCUAUAAAGCAGAAGAUUUUGCAACUCUGGGCCUGCACAGUGCCAUUCUUCUGUGCCAUUGAAAAACAAAACCAAAAAAUCUCCAUUCUCUUCUAAGAUUUCUCUACACUUUCACUAAGACGGCAGUUUACAAGAAACAGUGUAUCUGUUUAAAUGCAGAUGAGAUUUGAGGGGGAAAAAAUACAAAUACAGUUAUAUGGACCUGCAUCUUUCUAAGUAAUGUGUAUUCUUUACCUCUGGGACCAUUUCAUAUUGCCUUGGCAUUUAAUUGCUUAGCACAUGCAUUCUCUCAUGCAUGCUGUGUGCUCUAUGUAGUACCUGUUUGCUGCUUCGAUUUUAACAAAUGUUUUAUCUGCUGUUAACCCAAAGAAAUGCUACAGGAAAUAUGGUACUUUGGUCAGUCGGGCUAUGUCUUUAAGUUUGAUACACAGAAGAUGAUGAAGUUAUUAUGUAUUAGGUUUGGCUGGCAAAGCUAGAUGUAGGGAACAGUCUGAUGACAUGUGUCUAUGAUUCAGCCAUGCUGGAGUAAAGAAGUUCAGACCUCAGGGAGGGAUGCAGCAGAAAAAGAGAAGAGAGUUAUGCAUGUAUGGUAACUGAAGCUAUAUCAAAUAUACUCCAUAUCCCCAGGAAGUAGUUGUGUUCCCACAAGGAUGUGAAUCUGAAGGAUGUUUACAAGAGACAUGUACUAAUAUGAUAAAUGUGGUCUCUCAGCUUGCUGUAUCCGUGUUCUGCUGUAGUUCUUAGUUAUUAGUUAUAGGAUAAAAUUUAAGGAAAAAUGUGAACUGAAGGUUUUAACUCAAUACCACUGAAAAACUGCAUUUUAUUCAAUUUAUUUGUCUGUGUUAAGCUGCAGAGUAACAAUAUUUCUAUUGCUUUUCAGCUAUGAGAAACCUCCCCCUGGGCUAAUUAAGGAGAAUGAAACAAAACCAGAAGACUGCAUACCUGAUGUACCGGGCAAUGAAAGUGCACGAGAAUUCCUGGCACAUGCCCCAACAAAAGGGCUUUGGAUGCCUUUGGGAAAAGAAGUCAAAGUUAUGCAGUGUAAGACUGUGAAAAUAUUCCAGAUGUCAUUGGACCAUCAUAUAUCCAUCCAUUUACACUGGGGGAGGGCAAAAUGUCUGGUGGACAGAUGAUGAAUUCCAGGUAGAUUGACAUCAGAUUGAUAAAAAAGCAACCAGUAUCUUGAAGGCUGUAGUAGCCUUGUAUUUUAUGGACAUUCCAUUUAUCAACAUACUAGUUGUAUCUCUGUUUCUUCCAGCAGAUUGAAAAUAUUUUGCAGAAAUGUGUUUUUGGCUUUUUAUGCUGCUUCUGAUCUGUCUCACUGCUGCUUUUUUUUUUAAAGGUUGGAGAUGUAAACGUUAUGGACACAGAACAGGAGAUAAGGAAUGCCCAUUCUUUAUUAAAGGCAAUCAGAAAUUGGAACAAUUUAGAGUAGUGAGUACCAAUAAUGUAGUAUUACUACUUGUAUGUUUUAGUACUGAUAAUGUAUAAUCUUGCAACUGAAGAUGAUGUUAGAUGAUGCUUUAUUAAGGACUUUUCCUCUGUCUCUAGUAUAAUAUAGAUGCUGAAAAUCUCCUAAUAAAGAAAAAGCUACAAGUGUGUUGGAUGUUUGACUACUUUGCAGAAAAUCUACUCUUCAAGGGGAAAACUAGUAGUUUUUACAUAUAAAUUGGAAAUCUUCAAGAACCUUCAACCAUUAUAUAUUAUUUUUUUUUUUGUGAUUAAAAUGUCAACAUAACAAAAAAUGUUUAGUCAAGCUUGAGCUGCCCACAUUACAGCUGCUUCAAGCCUUCUGCUCUCACUGUGAACAACCACGUCACGAAUGCUGUUGUCUAGGCACACGAAGAUCCAAUGUAUGAUAUAAUAAGGGAAAAUAAGCAUCAUGAAAAAGAAAAGAGGAUACAGCAACUGAAGCAGCUCCUGGAGGACUCUACCUCAGAAUCUGAUAGCAGUGAUGAGGAUGAUGAAGAUGGC